rnacentral:rRNA from 1 species
AGAUUGAACGCUUGGCGGCAUGCCUAACACAUGCAAGUCGAGGCGGCAGCGCGGGGGCAACCCUGGCGGCGAGCGGCGGACGGGUGAGUAAGGCAUCGGAAUCUGCCCUGAUGUGGGGGAUAACGUAGGGAAACUUACGCUAAUACCGCAUACGACCGAGAGGUGAAAGCGGGGGACCGAAAGGCCUCGCGCAGCAGGAUGAGCCGAUGUCCGAUUAGCUGGUUGGUGGGGUAACGGCCCACCAAGGCGACGAUCGGUAGCUGGUCUGGAGAGGAUGAUCAGCCACACUGGGACUGAGACACGGGCCCAGACCUCCUACGGGAGCAGC